rnacentral:rRNA from 1 species
AUUGAACGCUGGCGGCAUGCCUUACACAUGCAAGUCGAACGGUAACGGGCCUUCGGGUGCCGACGAGUGGCGAACGGGUGAGUAAUGCAUCGGAACGUACCUUUCAGUGGGGGAUAACGUAGCGAAAGUUACGCUAAUACCGCAUAUUCUGUGAGCAGGAAAGCAGGGGAUCGCAAGACCUUGCGCUGAUUGAGCGGCCGAUGUCAGAUUAGCUAGUUGGUGAGGUAAAGGCUCACCAAGGCGACGAUCUGUAGCGGGUCUGAGAGGAUGAUCCGCCACACGGGGACGGGGACACGGCCCAGACUCCUACGGGCGGCAGCAGUGGGGAAUUUUGGACAAUGGGGGCAACCCUGAUCCAGCCACGCCGCGUGAGUGAAGAAGGCCUUCGGGUUGUAAAGCUCUUUCGGCCGGGAAGAAAUCGCACGGGCUAAUACCCUGUGUGGAUGACGGUACCGGAAUAAGAAGCACCGGCUAACUACGUGCCAGCCGCCGCCGUAACAC